GGGAGAGGACACAGGGAUCAUGGCGCUUAGAGGGAGAGGACACGGGGGUCAUGGCGCUGAGAGGGAAAGGACACGGGGAUCAUAGCGCUGAGAGAGGACACAGGGAUCAUGGAGCUGAGAGGGAGAGGACACGGGGGUCAUGGCGCUGAGAGGGAGAGGACACGGGGAUCAUGGUGCUGAGAGGGAGAGGACACAUGAAUUAUGGAGCUGAGAGAGAGAGGACAUGGGAUCAUGGAGCUGAGAGGGAGAGGACAC